AGCUUGACUGCGAGCGUGACGGCGCGAGCAGGUGCGAAAGCAGGUCAUAGUGAUCCGGUGGUUCUGAAUGGAAGGGCCAUCGCUCAACGGAUAAAAGGUACUCCGGGGAUAACAGGCUGAUACCGCCCAAGAGUUCAUAUCGACGGCGGUGUUUGGCACCUCGAUGUCGGCUCAUCACAUCCUGGGGCUGAAGUAGGUCCCAAGGGUAUGGCUGUUCGCCAUUUAAAGUGGUACGCGAGCUGGGUUUAGAACGUCGUGAGACAGUUCGGUCCCUAUCUGCCGUGGGCGCUGGAGAAUUGAGGGGGGCUGCUCCUAGUACGAGAGGACCGGAGUGGACGCAUCACUGGUGUUCGGGUUGUCAUGCCAAUGGCACUGCCCGGUAGCUAAAUGCGGAAGAGAUAAGUGCUGAAAGCAUCUAAGCACGAAACUUGCCCCGAGAUGAGUUCUCCCUGAGACUUUAAGUCUCCUGAAGGAACGUUAAAGACGAUGACGUUGAUAGGCCGGGUGUGUAAGCGCAGCGAUGCGUUGAGCUAACCGGUACUAAUGAACCGUGAGGCUUAACCUUACAACGCCGAAG
rnacentral:rRNA from 1 species